GCUUCAGCAUCCCGCUCUCCAGGGCAAAUCCUCCGGGAGCAAGGCGCAGCCAUGUAUCUCCAUUUGACUGGAUGACAGUGGGUGCAGGUGGGGGUACAGCGCUGACCUCGACUAGCUACCUGGAGACAUAUCCGUCUAUCACCGCACCCACCUAUCCAUCCAACCUCAGACAUAUCCGUCACCAUACCCACCCCCCACCUAUACAUCCAACCUCAGACACAUCCGUCUUCUCACCAUACUCAUCCCCCACCUAUCCAUCCAUCCUGUGGUUUGGGCUGGACUCUGGAUUGCCCUGAAAGGGGAGAGAGCCGAGAGCAACCUGGCCGGAGGAGCAGGUCACAGCCGCCAAGGGGACCCCAGUGGUUUGGCUGGUUGAUGAGCAGGCCUGAAGUGCGGCGAAGCCCUGCAAUGCUGUGCCUGACUGUGCGGGGGUACCCACAUGGAUCUAUGAAUCUAUGAAUCCAGUGCUGGAGCUGUCUGUGCAUUGCAGUAUCAACUGGAAAGUUCCCUCCAGAAUACCGGUGUCAAGCAGUAAGCACAUGGCCUCAGUCCAGUUGACUUCAAAGUGAAGGGCAGCUGCAAAUUUUUCAAGCCUCCCUCCUCCGUCCCGAAGGCUAUCUCAGAUAAGGCGGCGUAGAAAGAGGACGCGAGAUGACAUGUUCACGGAAAUAAUGGAAUCCACCCGCAAUUAAAGAGCUCAUUUGAAUGAGUGGAAAGACACAGUAUCUAAAUGUAGGAAAGAUGCCAGUGAACAUGAGGUCAUGAGGGAUGCUCGAGAUGAGAGGUGGCAGGCUGCAAUGCUGGGGCUUCUGCAUGAUCAAACGGACAUGCUUCGGCGUCUGGUGGAGGUUCAGGAACGGCAGCAGGAUAACAAACUGCCACUGCAGCCGCUGUAGAACCUCCCUCCCCCCAUCACCAUGUUCCAUAGCCUCCUCACCCAGACGUGUAAGAACGCGGGGCGGGGGGGGAAGUACCGUGCACCCUCCCACUCCACCCCAGUAGACAACCCAACCAAAAGGCUGUCAUUAUAUUGAAUUUGUUCGGUGGCCUUUUACUUCUCUCCUAUCCUCCUCCCAAACCUCACCCAGAUUACC